rnacentral:lncRNA from 1 species
CAAAUACUUAGCAGCACCUUAUGACAUUACAUGCAGUUUUUAUGUUAUUAAACACCCUAUACAAUCAGAAUUUCAGAGAAGAAUAAUCUUAACUUGAUAAUCAGACGUUUUCUCAAUUUUGCGUCUUUUAACAGAAGUAGGUUUGAUUUUUGUUGCAAGAUGCAAAAAUGGGAAAAUCAGACUUUUCCUCCGUGACAAUCUGAUUGUUAGGGGCAGAAAUAAAUAAACUACUAAAUUGGAUAAAAUUAUGAAAUAUAAAUGUACAAACAGAUAAUUUUUACACCAUGUUACCUGUUUUCAAAUGUAGUCUCAAGUGGUUAACUGAUAAAUGUUACACUGUCAGAAAAUCACUAGGGUUAAUAUCAGCUCUUCCGUGCUGUUGUGGUGGAAAAGUUUUAGUGGGAGUGGAAUGAAAGAUUCGAGGAGUCGAUCCUUUGGAGAAUGUGAAGCCCAAUGCAGGCGACCGUGGAGUUAAACGUGAGCGAGAGUGUGCGUGUGUGUGUGCGUGCGUGUGCGUGUGUAUGUGUGUAUGAGAGAGAGAGAGAGAGAGAGAGAGAGAGAGAGAGAGAGUGUAGGCGGGAGAGGAAAAGGGGCAGAGUUUCGUUGAGCGGGAUCACAAGCAGUACAGACUGUCUUACAGCAACACUGUAUCUACUUACGUGCCCGGAGGUUUAAUCAGAAUGGCUCUUGUACGGACUGUUCUCAUGGCGUGGCUCCUAGCAGUGCUGAGCUUAGAUAGAACUGCAGCACAAUCAGAAGUCCAUGCCUCCGUUGGGGAGAACGUGAUCCUGCCAUGUACCUGCUCUACCAUAACUGAAAAAGUUGUAUGGCAAUAUGGUGACACUGUUGUGAUCCAUUAUAAUAAGUCAGCAGAAAAGACCUUCAUACCAGAUGCUUCAUACAAGAACAGGGUUCUCUUCCUGAGUGAAGGAAUUAAGGAAGGCCAAUGUUCUCUGCUUCUACGCCAAGUGACUGAGGCUGAUGAGAAGAAAUAUACAUGUUACACCAUGGAUGACGACAAAUCUCUCAAUGAAUCCCAUGUUUAUUUGAAAAUUAACCAAAGAAGAGUAGAAACACCCACCCAACAACCACCUCCAAACACGGUUGCCGCUUCCUUAUCACUGGUGGCUAUCAUGGUAAUAAUUCUGGCAAUCAUAAUAAUUGGGAUCAUGCUAAAGAGGAGACGUCGUCAAAGAAUGUUACAGGAGAAUCAUCUGGACCCACAAUCUGGACUUCCAAUAAUGGAUCACAGCCCUGUGUGACGAAGACCACAAAGUUUACCUUCAUUCCUGAGUGAGCCAUGAAUCAUGGCUUGGACAGCUUGGACAGUACGAGAUUAACAGCUGGACUGUUCUUGGGCAUUUGGAAUUGUGUUCAUGGUGUUGAUCACCUGUAUACAUAUUCUAUUGUACUGUAAUGUACAUUUUUACAGAAAUUGAUUUGGUAGGCUUUUUUUCUACUGUGAUCGAUUGUACUAGGGCAGAUGUUUCUGCAGCGGGGGAGCGAUACUGUGAAAUUGCAGCUUGACAACAUUUUCAGACAUUCAAAUUUCACAUGAUAAUCUUAUCUCUCAGUGUUUUGAUAUUAAAGUAAGCAGUGCUGUCUUUGGACCGGAACAGGAAAAACAGGUCAUAGUAGACACAUGAAACCUGUAUUUUGGGGGGGUUACCAUGUUGAAAAACAAGUGCCGAAUUACUGAAUGUACAGUGUUGUCAGGGCUUGAACAGAACUAGUGAAAACAUGCAGGAAGUAGGUGAAAGGUUAAUGAAUGUAUUAAAGUAACUAAGUGAGAGAUGAAUGAAACAUCUGGAAGAACAGAGAGAGUGAAUAGCUUCCUGGAUAUCGUUUUACUUGCUGUCCAAUCAUAUUGUACUUGUACUUUUUCUGAAGGUCAGUGGUGCAUUAAAUCAAAAGGACAUUCACUGAAUAACAGAUGGACACCAUCACCCAAAUGUUAUUCUGUGCUCUAUUCAUUGAGAGUAGAAAUUGAUCCGAUGUGUGCUUUGGCAUUACUUUUUAUAAUUGAUUUUAUACUUAACCUAUCCAUCUGGGAUGGCUUUCUUUUGGUGUGUGUUUUCAUUCUUGUAGUGUACUCCCUAUGGGAUAGAUUUGCUUGCUUGUAUUUAAUACAACAUAUAUUUUUGUAAAGCAGAAUUAUGGAUGUUAUCACAACC